UAGAGGCAGGCAACCACGGUAGGGUCAGCGACUGGGGUGAAGUCGUAACAAGGUAGCCGUAGGGGAACCUGUGGCUGGAUCACCUCCUUUCUAAGGAUGAUCAAGAAUGGGCCUAGGCCUUUUUUGAUCUGAUUAGACAUUGACGGUUUAAAGUCUUAUUUAAACCGUUGACAUAUUUUAAACAUUCUAUGAACCGUGGGUUUUGAAUGGAAACUCUGUCCCCUUUAGUGAUACAGAGCAUAACUGUUUUUUAUCCAUGGUUCAUUUGUUUAAAAAUUUAUAAAAAGACUAGCCGCCUUCAUUUCACUUUCUUCAGAUUAUGAUCCUAAGCCUUCUGGCGAUCUGUUUGCACAAGCCUCUGAGAGGGAUGAAGAUAUUGUUUUCUUUGAUCAGAUUAUGCCGGUAAAGGUUUUCUGGUUUACCCUAUAGGGCUUGUAGCUCAGUUGGUUAGAGCGCGCGCUUGAUAAGCGUGAGGUCGGAGGUUCAAGUCCUCCCAGGCCCACCAGUUACACGAUGCUAAAAGUUGCUAUAUUGGGAGAGUUGAUAAUCCCUUACAGGAAAUUAUUGCCCUUAAUAAAACUUUAUUUUCUAAAAGCAUUCAGAGCUGACAUAGAAUAGAGCUGACAUAGAAUUGAGAAUCUGACAUAGGAAUUAUUGAAAUUGUUUUGGAAUUAUUGAAAUUGUUUUCUAUCAUUUUAAAAGGCUAAAAUAUUCUGUCUCUAUUUUUAAAAUAGCAUCAGGUGUUUUGUAAGAGUGUGAAGUUUUUAAGUGUGAGGUUUUUUAAAUUUUAGUGUGAGGUUUUUAUCAGGGUAUGACGUGAGAGCGUUUUGACCUGUUUUAGGGGCCGUAGCUCAGCUGGGAGAGCACCUGCUUUGCAAGCAGGGGGUCGUCGGUUCGAUCCCGUCCGGCUCCACCAUAAUUUGGUUCAUCAUUAUUGUUAGAAGAAUAGUUAUUGCAAGAGAUGAGAGAUCUCUUUGCUUGUUCUAUUGAAAUUGUGAAGAAGAAGGUAUAUUCAGACGUUUUUUGCUUGAACUCAUUCUUAUGAAAGAGAUUUUUCUUAUGAAAGAGAUUUUUAAGAAUGGAUAGCUUAAAAAGAAGAAUGGAUGGCUUAAAAAGGUGGCUUAAAAAGAUGGCUGUUUUUAAAUGAAAAUAGUUAUUUUUACGCUCUUUUGACGAUUGUUACAACAUUAUACGAUUAAAACAUUAUACGAUAAUGAUAAUAACGAUAAUAAAAAGAGCUUUCAUUAAUAAAAAGAGCUUUCAUUAAUAAUAAAGAGCUUUCAUUAAUAAUAAAGAGCUUUCAUUGAACUUUCAUUGAAGAAGCAUUUUGAGCAAAACAGAUGUGUCGCAAGGAAGAGCUCAAAUUCCUUGCUUAUGAUUGGCAACUUAACCGUGCCAUUGAAUAUAUCUCGAGAAGUUGGUCUUUUCUGCUGAUAUUUUUGUUUUAAGUGCCUAUUGAUGCUAGAUUAUUUUUAAAAAUAAUUUUGUAUUGAUGAUUUUGCACGGAAUAAUUGACGAAUGAAUAUUGGCAAUGAGAAUGAUCAAGUGUCUUAAGGAUUU
rnacentral:misc_RNA from 1 species